GGUAGGACUACCCGCU
rnacentral:rRNA from 1 species